rnacentral:lncRNA from 1 species
AUGGAGAUGAGGUCCUUUGUGCUUUUAGUGUAGUUUGGCCUCCGUAUUUCGUUGGGGUAGCCCGCCGCUGUUCCUUCACAUUUUCCUCCUUUUAAACAAGGGUUCUCCCUAGCUUUUUACAGAGUCGCAGUAGCAUAGAAGGGCCGUCGAGAGGAUUUUCUUCUUUCUUGUCGGGUCUCGAAUGGCCGGACCUUAAUUGAUGUCAGGACNNN